rnacentral:rRNA from 1 species
CAGCCGCCGCGGGAAUACGUAGGGUGCGAGCGUUAAUCGGAAUUACUGGGCGUAAAGCGUGCGCAGGCGGUUGUGUAAGACAGGUGUGAAAUCCCCGGGCUUAACCUGGGAACUGCGCUUGUGACUGCACAGCUAGAGUAUGGCAGAGGGGGGUGGAAUUCCACGUGUAGCAGUGAAAUGCGUAGAGAUGUGGAGGAACACCGAUGGCGACGGCAGCCCCCUGGGCCAAUACUGACGCUCAUGCACGAAAGCGUGGGGAGCAAACAGGAUUAGAUACCCGUGUAGUCCCUGUCUCUUAUAC